rnacentral:rRNA from 1 species
AUUGAACGCUGGCGGCAUGCCUUACACAUGCAAGUCGAACGGUAACGGGCCUUCGGGUGCCGCCGAGUGGCGAACGGGUGAGUAAUACAUCGGAACGUGCCCGAUCGUGGGGGAUAACGAGGCGAAAGCUUUGCUAAUACCGCAUACGAUCUACGGAUGAAAGCAGGGGACCGCAAGGCCUUGCGCGGACGGAGCGGCCGAUGGCAGAUUAGGUAGUUGGUGGGAUAAAAGCUUACCAAGCCGACGAUCUGUAGCUGGUCUGAGAGGAUGAUCAGCCACACUGGGACCGAGACACGGCCCAGACUCCUACGGGAGGCAGCAGUGGGGAAUUUUGGACAAUGGGCGCAAGCCUGAUCCAGCCAUGCCGCGUGCAGGAUGAAGGCCUUCGGGUUGUAAACUGCUUUUGUACGGAACGAAAAGCCUUCUUUUAAUACAGGAGGGUCAUGACGGUACCGUAAGAAUAAGCACCGGCUAACUACGUG